rnacentral:rRNA from 1 species
GGUUUAAUUCGAUGCAACGCGAAGAACCUUACCUACUCUUGACAUCCACGGAAUUUAGCAGAGAUGCUUUAGUGCCUUCGGGAACUGUGAGACAGGUGCUGCAUGGCUGUCGUCAGCUCGUGUUGUGAAAUGUUGGGUUAAGUCCCGCAACGAGCGCAACCCUUAUCCUUUGUUGCCAGCACGUAAUGGUGGGAACUCAAGGGAGACUGCCGGUGACAAACCGGAGGAAGGUGGGGAUGACGUCAAGUCAUCAUGGCCCUUACGAGUAGGGCUACACACGUGCUACAAUGGCAGAUACAAAGUGAAGCGAACUCGCGAGAGCCAGCGGACCACAUAAAGUCUGUCGUAGUCCGGAUUGGAGUCUGCAACUCGACUCCAUGAAGUCGGAAUCGCUAGUAAUCGUAGAUCAGAAUGCUACGGUGAAUACGUUCCCGGGCCUUGUACACACCGCCCGUCACACCAUGGGAGUGGGUUGCAAAAGAAGUAGGUAGCUUAACCUUCGGGAGGGCGCUUACCACUUUGUGAUUCAUGACUGGGGUGAAGUCGUAACAAGGUAACCGUAGGGGAACCUGCGGUUGGAUCACCUCCUUACCU